AGAUAAUGAUUGUAAAGAGUAGAUUUUAUAUGAAAUUCAAAUAUAAAGUUUAAAAGUAUUGGCGGUGUUAAAUUUUAUUCUGAGAAACUUGUUUAAUUAAAAUGAUAUUACACAAUUUAUCUUAUCAUGUUUUUUGGUUUAUGUAUUGCUGUUUAAUUAAUGAGUUAAUAAAAUAAAAAAAUUAGUAUAAAUAUUUUUAAAGUAAGAAGUUCAAGUCAAGAUGUAGUUUUAAUAUGGUUUAAAUGAGUUGCUUUUUAUUAGAGAAGUAGAAUUAAAAUAAUUAUUGAAAAUUUUUUAUGGUAUUUGGAUUAGGGAGUAAAAAGGAAGUAGUUAGUUCUUUUGAUAAUUUAUAUUAACAUGU
rnacentral:rRNA from 1 species